rnacentral:rRNA from 1 species
AUUGAACGCUGGCGGCAUGCCUAACACAUGCAAGUCGAGCGGCAGAACGGGUCCUUGCCCUUGGUUGAGCGUGGCGCACGGGUGAGUAAUACAUCGGAACGCGUCCUGGUGUGGGGGAACGCCCGGCGAAAGCCGGAUUUAUACCGCACACGAUCAGCGGGUGAAAGGGGGGGCCUUUCACGCCUCGCUCUCUAGGGUUCGUCGAGGGCGGAUUAGCUAGUUGGUGGGGUAAAGGCCUACCAAGGCGACGCUCCGUAACUGGUCUGAGAGGAUGAUCAGGCACACUGGAACUGAGACACGGUCCAGACUCCUACGGGAGGCAGCAGUGGGGAAUAUUGGACAAUGGGCGAAAGCCUGAUCCAGCCAUGCCGCGUGUGUGAAGAAGGUCUUCGGAUUGUAAAGCACUUUAAGUUGGGAGGAAGGGCAGUAAGUUAAUACCUUGCUGUUUUGACGUUACCAACAGAAUAAGCACCGGCUAACUUCGUG